rnacentral:rRNA from 1 species
CCUACGGGAGGCAGCAGUGAGGAAUAUUGGUCAAUGGCCGGAAGGCUGAACCAGCCAAGCCGCGUGAAGGACGAAGGUGCCAAGCAUUGUAAACUUCUUUUGUCAAGGGACAAAAUCAGGCUCGAGAGCCUGACCGAGGGUACUUGAAGAACAAGCAUCGGUAAACUCCGUGCCAGCAGCCGCGGUAAUACGGAGGAUGCGAGUGUUAUCCGGAUUUAUUGGGUUUAAAGGGUGCGUAGGCGGACUGUUAAGUCAGCGGGAAAAGCCCGGGGCGAAACCCCGGCGAGCCGUUGAAACUGGCUGUCUUGAGAUGUCGAGAGGUAUGCGGAAUGCGCAGUGUAGCGGUGAAAUGCUUAGAUAUUGCGCAGAACUCCGAUUGCGAAGGCAGCAUACCGGCGGCGAUCUGACGCUGAGGCACGAAAGCGUGGGUAUCGAACAGGAUUAGAUACCCUUGUAGUC